rnacentral:rRNA from 1 species
UCUUUGGGUUACAAUUCUGGUUGGAAUUACGGAGGGGGAGAGGAUUUACCCUUAGAAGGUGGAUUUAUAAGUAAUUUUUUUAUAUUUUUAUUGAAUGAAAAAUGGAAUAACAUGUGUACAUAUUGCCCGUCGCUCUCGUUAUUUUGGGAUAAGUCGUAACAUAGUUGGUGAACUGGAAAGUUUAUCUUUUUGA